GUAUAAUGCCAUACCACCCUGCACAUGCCCAACCUCAUCUGAUCUCAGAAGCUAAGCAAGGUUGUCCUGGUUAGGAUUUGGAUGGGAGACCACAAUGUGAAUCUGACCGUAUUAACU
rnacentral:rRNA from 1 species